rnacentral:misc_RNA from 1 species
UCCGGUUUGUCACCGGCAGUCUCAUUAGAGUGCCCAACUGAAUGUAGCAACUAAUGACAAGGGUUGCGCUCGUUGCGGGACUUAACCCAACAUCUCACGACACGAGCUGACGACAGCCAUGCAGCACCUGUGUUCCCGUUCCCUUUCGGGCACAGCCCACUUUCGAGGGCCUCCAGGACAUGUCAAGGGUAGGUAAGGUGGGGAUGACGUCGUAUCUCACUG